UACCAUAUCAUUCUUUGAACGCCAGACAAAGCCAUCAGAAAUUUCAAAAGAAAACAAAAGGGAAAGCAGAAAAGAGGUAGAAAAAGAAAGGUUCGAAGUGUGGCUAAAGCAGCAGGGAAUUUUCUUUUAACUUUAGACACAUACAUGUUUUUAAUAACUUUACACAUGUCUAUAUUUAUAUUUACAUACAUACAUACAUACAUACAUACAUACAUAUGAGUGCUAUCUCGUUGUCUCAAAAGA
rnacentral:lncRNA from 1 species